AGCGAUGCCUCCACCUCGUUGAGAGGACAGGGCGGGCGGGGGCAGUAGGUUUCCGCCGCCGCCGAGGCCCGCGCCCCGCGUCCCGCGCCCCGCGCCCCCCGCGCACGCCCGUCCUCGGCCGCGCAGCCGAGAGCCGAGCCCAGCCGAGCAGCCGAGCCUAGCCGAGUACCCGAACACCCGAGCCUAGCCGAAUAGCCGAGCGCAGCCGAGCCUAGCCGAGCCGAACCAAGCCGAGCAACCGAGCCCAACUAGCCGAACGGCCGAGCCGAGGCGAGCCCGUGCUAGCACUGCGGUUUGCAGCAACGACUGCGAGUGGUUCCUGCACCAGCCAAUCAGAGGCGGAGCCCAAUCCGCACCGCCCACAGUCUGUGCUCCGCCCUCUUCUCCAGGGCUCACCUAGGCCUCCCUAAAGAGGGAAGGCUGAGAUGCUGCCGGGUAGAUGGGUCAGGACAACUUCGUACCAAGUACCGUUCAGGCUUCCACCGCAGGGAGGAGGUGCGGGUGGUGAGGGGUUGGUCACCACCAACCCCUUGGCCUGGUGCUCAGAAGGGGUUUCCUGCCCCUUGCAGCAUGCCGCGAGCACAGAUACAAGAAAGAGCAUUUGACAAAAAACACCGUUCAAGAUAGACCUCUGCAUGGACAGCAGUGGAAGGGUACUCCUCACUCCCUCCAGCUGAUACGUGAAAGUGCAGAACCCAGCAUGAAGACGGCCACAGCAAGGCUGCUCUGCCGCCAGCCAGGAGGAGGGAGGCUCACUGCGCCCAUCUUGUCCAGUCCCUCGGUGUGAACAGGUGUUGGAGGACAGGGCCAUGUAAUUAGAAAGGAAAACCAAAGUCAUCCUGUGGGAGGCAAAGAUUGAAAUACGCUUUGUUCACAGGUAAUUCCAGCAUUCUGGGGGGCUGAGGCAGAAGGAUGGGAAGAUCAGGCACAACCUGCCCAAUUUAGUGACAUCAUGGUCCCAUACCUCAAAAUUUUAAAAAGGUUGGGGGUGUGGCAAGGUAUGAAAGCCCUAAGGUUGAUCCCCAGUACAGCAAAAAAGCUAAAUGAGUUUACCAAGACAGGUUACCAAUUCCCACCCCUCAUAACCAGCUGUUCUUUGCACUAACAAUGAACAUUUGAAAUGAUAAAUACAACUCCAUUUAAAAUACAAUUUUUAAAACGCUGAAUACUUAGAAGUAGGUUUUAUGAAAUAUGCCUGAGACCUCUACACAGAGAACUAAAAUACCACUGAGAAGGAUACUAAGACUUCAUUAGAGUCACAGCAUCUCCCUGAAUUUCUAGGAACAAUCUUGUUAAGUAGUUGUCCCCAAAUUUAUGAAUUAAAUACAGUUUCAGUCAGAAGUACAGCUAAGUUUGGUUUAUAUAUUUUGUUUUAGAAAUUGAUAAGCACAUUCUAAAAUUUAAAAUAACUACAAAAGACCUGGAAAUGGCCGAAUGGUUCUCAUGAACAAGCUAGUAUGCUCAAGCUACCAGAAUUAAUGUCUUUUGGGGAAGCUACAGACAUUUAAACUGUGGUAUUUGUAGGGGACUGGUGAUCAACUUAAACACCAACUGAACUGAAUCCGCAUGGUGCUGAGAGUAGAUGGCCCACCGGAGGACUGCUGCCAGCAUAAAAAGGAGACCUAGAAAGGGAAGGUAGUGUUGUAGGUACUCCCAAGUGGUAGUGUUUGGAGCUGUUGGUUCUCGUGAUAUAAACUCCGCUGUUAUCAUCCGAGCUCGGGGCCUUGUUGCUGCGAGUGGCUGUGGUUCACUUAGGGGGAGCUCUGGUCCUUACUUUGAGCAUUGUUUUCUGCCUAUGGAGAGGAAGAUGUGUGCUGUUUAAUCUCCAGGAUAAGCUUGUUACCUUGGCUUCCUGGUACAAAUUCAGCUGUUAUCAUCAUCGGAGGAGCUCAGGACCUCAUUGUCACUGAGGAUGGCUAUGGUACUUUUCAGGGGAGCCCUUGUUCUUAUUUUGAGCAUUGCUUCUUGGCUCCAGUACAGAACCCAAAGCUUGCUGGCACAGAUCCUUCACCCUGCUGGCACAGACUUUCUAGCUUCCACUGCUGACUCUUUGGACCUUCCCAGUGCAGAUCCGUAGGAUAGACUCAUGUGGGUCAUUGUCAUGGGCUCCAAGUUUUCAGCUGAACCUAUGCAGGUUAUUGCCAUGGGAUCCAGGCCCUCAGCUGGAUUUUCUAGGUCUUUAGUGUUCUGGACAGAUUCCCUGCACUUUCUUUGAAUUUGGUUCCUUGGUGAUCAUUAUAUAAUUGUUCUCCUUGCAACCCCUGACGACAGCAGUAUUGGUUUACAGAUAGACAUAUAAAUCCAAAAAUGAGCUUAGAAACUAUAAAUAAAUUUUUUUCUUGUUGUUGGUUUUGUGGAUGUCUUUGCUGUUGUUUUCAUUCUUUGAGACCAAGUAGCCCAGGCUGGCUUCCAAAUCUCAAAAUCCUCCUGUGUCAGCCUCCCAAGCCUUGGGAUUACAGGCAUGUACUACCAGACCCAGAUUUAAAAUAGAUUCUUAUGUAGUUUUUGAUGCUGGGUAUUAAAACCAGGGCCUUGGCACUGAGGUAUGUCCCCAUCCGCUUUUUAUUUUUUAUUUGGAGACAGGAUCUCACCCAUUUGCUAAAUUGUCUAGGCUGGGUUCAACCUUUUAGCACUCCUGCCUCAGCCUCUCAGAGCAUGCCUGGCUGACAACAGGUUUUCAAUUGGUGUUAAAAUAAUCCAGUGGAAAAAAGAUUGAUAUCACAACCAAAGAUGCUGAAACAAUCCAAUAUAACAUUCCACAUGUAAAGAAAGAACUCACCCUAUAUACAAAUAUUAAUUAGAUUAGCUAGCUAAUGAUAAUAAGUACUAACUAGAAGUGAUCUGUAGGCCUAAGAAUUAUAAGUUUAAAACUUCUAGACUAAAAGAUAGACAAAUCUUUGUGUGCUUGGAUUAACCAAAGAUUUCUUGGCUAAGUUGCAAAAAAGCACAAGCUAUAAAAUAAAAGAAAAAUAGUAAACUGGACUUUGUUGAAAUUAAAACCAUGUUUCAAAAGUCAUUGUUAGCAAAAUGAAAAGCUGCAAAGAAAGAAAAUAUUUGCAAAAUUGUAUCACUGAGGGCCAGGGACAUUAUAGCCCAGCAGCAUAAGUGCCUGCCUGGCAAGUGCAAGGUCCUGAGUUCCAAUUCCCAGUACCAAAACAAGAAAGGAUUAAAAAAAUAUAUGUGCACAUGUAAAGAUUAUAUAUCUGGGUGCCAGAAUCCUUACUUUUUAAAUAUCCUCACCCUGUGCAAGAGGAAGGCAUGGAGAUUUUGUGAGUACUGCACCUGCCCUGGAGGGGGUGGGGGUGGCCUGUGUACAACAUAAAGGAGGAGAAGAGGCUUGUUUUCCCCCUUUUGCCCUGGUUGUUGCCUUGAAGUGCUGACCCUGUGCCAUGCCACCCUGCCUUGGAGCCAGAUGACUAUGUACUGAAACCUCCACAAACAGUGGACUAAAUAAACCUUUCCUUCCUUCA